GAGGUGGAAGUUAGCAUGCAAUGCUGAGACAGGAGUUUUCUCCCUACCUCU
rnacentral:tRNA from 1 species